rnacentral:Y_RNA from 1 species
GGCUCGUCCGACUGCAGUGAUGUUUACAACUAAUUGAUCACAUUCAGUUACAGAUUUAUUUGUUCCUUCUCCAUUCCCACUGCUUCACUUGACUAGCCUUCA